GGACGGUUAGCUCAGUUGGGAGAGCACCGCCCUUACAAGGCGGGGGUCACUGGUUCAAGCCCAGUAUCGUCCACCA
rnacentral:tRNA from 1 species